rnacentral:rRNA from 1 species
CCUACGGUGUGCAGCAGUGGGGAAUAUUGCACAAUGGGGGAAACCCUGAUGCAGCGACGCCGCGUGAGUGAAGAAGUAUUUCGGUAUGUAAAGCUCUAUCAGCAGGGAAGAAAUAAAGUCCUUCGGACUUUGGACGGUACCUGACUAAGAAGCCCCGGCUAACUACGUGCCAGCAGCCGCGGUAAUACGUAGGGGGCAAGCGUUAUCCGGAUUUACUGGGUGUAAAGGGAGCGUAGACGGCAGCGCAAGUCUGGAGUGAAAUCCCAUGGCUUAACCAUGGAACUGCUUUGGAAACUGUGCAGCUGGAGUGCAGGAGAGGUAAGCGGAAUUCCUAGUGUAGCGGUGAAAUGCGUAGAUAUUAGGAGGAACACCAGUGGCGAAGGCGGCCUGCUGGACGACAACUGACGGUGAGGCGCGAAAGCGUGGGGAGCAAACAGGAUUAGAUACCCCAGUAGUC